GACGUAGGGCGCGAGCGUUGUCCGGAUUUAUUGGGCGUAAAGAGCUCGUAGGCGGCUUGUUGCGUCGACUGUGAAAACCUGCGGCUCAACCGUGUGGUCUGCAGUCGAUACGGGCAGGCUGGAGUUCGGUAGGGGAGACUGGAAUUCCUGGUGUAGCGGUGAAAUGCGCAGAUAUCAGGAAGAACACCAAUGGCGAAAGCAGCUCUCUGGGACGGUACUGACGCUGAGACGCGAAAGCGUGGGGAGCGAACAGG
rnacentral:rRNA from 1 species